UUCGCAGAGUGUAAAGGCACAAGGGAGCUUGACUGCGAGACCUACAAGUCGAGCAGGGACGAAAGUCGGGCUUAGUGAUCCGGUGGUUCCGCAUGGAAGGGCCAUCGCUCAACGGAUAAAGCUACCCCGGGGAUAACAGGCUUAUCUCCCCCAAGAGUCCACAUCGACGGGGAGGUUUGGCACCUCGAUGUCGGCUCAUCGCAUCCUGGGGCUGUAGUCGGUCCCAAGGGUUGGGCUGUUCGCCCAUUAAAGCGGUACGCGAGCUGGGUUCAGAA
rnacentral:rRNA from 1 species